rnacentral:rRNA from 1 species
AGUACCGUGAGGGAAAGAUGAAAAGCACUUUGGAAAGAGAGUUAAACAGUACGUGAAAUUGUUGGAAGGGAAACGAUUGAAGUCAGUCGUGUCCGAGGGGUUCAGCCGGUCCUGCYGGUGCACUCCCCUCGGACGGGUCAACAUCGGUUCUGUCCGGCGGACAAGGGCAGGGGGAACGUGACACCCUCGUGGUGUGUUAUAGCCCCCCGUCGCAUACGUCGGUCGGGACCGAGGAUCGCAGCUCGCCCUCACGGGCCGGGGUUCGCCCACGUCCGAGCUUAGG